rnacentral:rRNA from 1 species
UAGGGAAUCUUCGGCAAUGGACUAAAGUCUGACCUAGCAACGCCGCGUGAGUGAAGAAGGUUUUCGGAUCGUAAAACUCUGUUGUUAGAGAAGAACAAGGACGUUAGUAACUGAACGUCCCCUGACGGUAUCUAACCAGAAAGCCACGGCUAACUACGUGCCAGCAGCCGCGGUAAUACGUAGGUGGCAAGCGUUGUCCGGAUUUAUUGGGCGUAAAGCGAGCGCAGGCGGUUUCUUAAGUCUGAUGUGAAAGCCCCCGGCUCAACCGGGGAGGGUCAUUGGAAACUGGGAGACUUGAGUGCAGAAGAGGAGAGUGGAAUUCCAUGUGUAGCGGUGAAAUGCGUAGAUAUAUGGAGGAACACCAGUGGCGAAGGCGGCUCUCUGGUCUGUAACUGACGCUGAGGCUCGAAAGCGUGGGGAGCAAACAGG